rnacentral:rRNA from 1 species
UACGAAGGGGGCGAGCGUUGUUCGGAAUCACUGGGCGUAAAGGGCGCGUAGGCGGCCCUCCUAGUCGCGUGUGAAAGCCCCGGGCUCAACCUGGGAACGGCGCGCGAAACGGGGGGGCUGGAGUUCGGGAGAGGAGCGUGGAACUGCGAGUGUAGAGGUGAAAUUCGUAGAUAUUCGCAAGAACACCAGUGGCGAAGGCGGCUCACUGGCCCGAUACUGACGCUGAGGUGCGAAAGCGUGGGGAGCAAACAGG